GAUUAGCUCAGUUGGUAGAGCAACUGACUCUUAAUCAGUGGGUCUAGGGUUCAAGUCCCU
rnacentral:tRNA from 1 species